rnacentral:rRNA from 1 species
GGCAGUCAGAGUAGGUAAAUCCGCUUUGAUAAUGCUGGGAUGUGAUGGGGAGCGAAAUUUAGUAGCGAAGUAGCUGAUUUCACACUGUCAAGAAAAGUCUCUAUCGAGGUUAAAGGUACCCGUACCGCAAACCGACACAGGUGGGUGAGGAGAGUAUCCUAAGGCCCGCGAGAGAACUGUUGUUAAGGAACUCGGCAAAAUGACCCCGUAACUUAGGGAUAAGGGGUGCCACCAUCCGGUGGCCGCAGAGAAUAG